rnacentral:tRNA from 1 species
GCCUGGGUGGCUCAGUCGGUUGAGCAUCUGACUUAGGCUCAGGUCAUGAUCUCAGGGCUCAUGGGUUCGAGCUCCGUGUCGGGCU